GAUGAACGCUGGCGGCGUGCCUAAUACAUGCAAGUCGAGCGAACAGAUAAGGAGCUUGCUCCUUUGACGUUAGCGGCGGACGGGUGAGUUACACGUGGAUAACCUACCUAUAAGACUGGGAUAACUUCGGGAAACCGGAGCUAAUACCGGAUAACAUAUUGAACCGCAUGGUUCAAUAGUGAAAGGCGGCUUUGCUGUCACUUAUCGAUGGAUCCGCGCCGUAUUAGCUAGUUGGUAAGGUAACGGCUUACCAAGGCAACGAUACGUAGCCGACCUGAGAGGGUGAUCGGCCACACUGGAACUGAGACACGGUCCAGACUCCUACGGGAGGCAGCAGUAGGGAAUCUUCCGCAAUGGGCGAAAGCCUGACGGAGCAACGCCGCGUGAGUGAUGAAGGUCUUCGGAUCGUAAAACUCUGUUAUCAGGGAAGAACAAAUGUGUAAGUAACUGUGCACAUCUUGACGGUACCUGAUCAGAAAGCCACGGCUAACUACGUG
rnacentral:rRNA from 1 species